GACGAACGCUGGCGGCGUGCCUAAUACAUGCAAGUCGAGCGAAUCAUUAGGAGCUUGCUCCUGAUGGUUAGCGGCGGACGGGUGAGUAACACGUGGGCAACCUGCCUGUAAGACUGGGAUAACACCGGGAAACCGGUGCUAAUACCGGAUAAUUCUUUCCCUCACAUGAGGGAAAGCUGAAAGUCGGUUUCGGCUGACACUUACAGAUGGGCCCGCGGCGCAUUAGCUAGUUGGUGAGGUAACGGCUCACCAAGGCGACGAUGCGUAGCCGACGUGAGAGGGUGAUCGGCCACACUGGGACUGAGACACGGCCCAGACUCCUACGGGAGGCAGCAGUAGGGAAUCUUCCGCAAUGGACGAAAGUCUGACGGGGCAACGCCGCGUGAGUGAUGAAGGCCUUCGGGUCGUAAAACUCUGUUGUUAGGGAAGAACAAGUAUCGGAGUAACUGCCGGUACCUUGACGGUACCUAACCAGAAAGCCACGGCUAACUACGUGCCAGCCGCCGCCGUAACAC
rnacentral:rRNA from 1 species